rnacentral:misc_RNA from 1 species
UAAUAAGUGUUUUAUGGCACUUUUUAAAUCCAUAUCCACCUUGUGUGCAAUGUCAGUCGAUCCUCUUCAUUUGAGGAUCGACCAAACAUCAACCUUUAUUUUUUAACUCUUUGUCUGAAAAAUAUUAUGAAUAAACAAUUCAAAAUA